GGCCUCUUAGCUCAGUUGGCUAGAGCUUUGGCUGUACUAAAGCCUUCCCCUUGAUGGCGUGGAUUCGAAUCCCACAUAGGCCG
rnacentral:tRNA from 1 species